GAUAAACGCUGGCGGCGUGCAUUAGACAUGCAAGUCGAACGAACGACCUCGGGCUUGCCCGGGGAAGUUAGUGGCGAACGGCUGAGUAACGCGUGGGUGACCUGCCCAGAAGUGGGGAAUAACUGCCCGAAAGGGUGGCUAAUACCGCAUGUGGUCAUGAGUUCGGUCUCUUGACCAAAGCCUUCGGGCGCUUUUGGAGGGGCCUGCGUUCGAUUAGCUCGUUGGUGAGGUAACGGCUCACCAAGGCGACGAUCGAUAGGUGGUCUGAGAGGAUGAUCACCCAGACUGGGACUGAGACACGGCCCAGACAACUACGGUUGGCAGCAGUCGGGAAUUUGCCCAAUGGGGGAAACCCUGAGGCAGCAACGCCGCGUGAGGGAUGAAGGCCUUCGGGUUGUAAACCUCUUUUCUCAGGGACGAUAAUGACGGUACCUGAGGAAUAAGCCACGGCUAACUACAUG
rnacentral:rRNA from 1 species